UUUCAAGUGUGGACAUAAGGGUCACUGGAAGAAAGAUUGUCCUAAGAUUAUUAAAAUCAGGUAUAGGAAAUGUUUAAACUUCCUAAUUAGUUAAGAUUUCUAUUGAUUUAUGCAAUAGUGAAUUCUGUGAUUAUUUAUCUUAUUUGUAAUUCAUUUAUUUGGUUUUUAAGAAACCAAGAGAUUAAGUGAAGAAAGCUUCAAACAACAGUUGAGGACAUGCUAGUUUAUAUCAGUUGAAAGGCUAGAUCAAUU
rnacentral:lncRNA from 1 species